CAAGAUGAAAGGAAAAUUCCUUGAUCUCCUCUGUGGCUCCUAGCCCCGAUCUCUGUAAUUUGUCUACCAUGUAUUUCAAAUUUUUCAUGGGAAAACUAGAGUAUCAGCUUUGCUGAUAGCUACAGAAAACUAAAAAGUUGCAUAGGAAAUAGUUUGGAUUUUUGUUUUUAGUUCUUAAGUGUUUAUCUUAAAUUCAUGUUUGAGGAAAAAGAACUAAUUUAGUUGGAAAAUAAGGGAUGAGGAAGAGUGAACUUGGCCCCCAAAGUUGUCAUGUAUCUUCAAGCAGAAGACCAAGUAACUGUGCCUUGGAUCAAAUAGUGGUAAGUGGUACACACAGAUGUACAAUUGCCUGCCAACAUUCCCUCCUGGGAGGGUUUGGGACAUGAGGAAAAUUAGGGGUGUUUUCCCUUGAUUCGAACCUCCCAUUUAUUCUCGGUCUAUAUCAGGAGGCAAUGACGACAUAUGUCCCCCAUCCUGUACACCCUCCCUUGUAAGGUAUUCUGGAUCCUGUCACACUCAGGAAGGACUUCAGGGAGAGGGAAGGCCUAGUUAAUCUCAUAUGCUGCUGACAUAAUGCCU
rnacentral:lncRNA from 1 species